rnacentral:rRNA from 1 species
UACGUAGGGUGCAAGCGUUGUCCGGAAUUAUUGGGCGUAAAGCGCGCGCAGGCGGUCCUUUAAGUCUGAUGUGAAAGCCCACGGCUCAACCGUGGAGGGUCAUUGGAAACUGGGGGACUUGAGUACAGAAGAGAAGAGUGGAAUUCCACGUGUAGCAGUGAAAUGCGUAGAGAUGUGGAGGAACACCGAUGGCGAAGGCAGCCCCCUGGGCUGACACUGACGCUCAGGCACGAAAGCGUGGGGAGCAAACAGG